CGUGGUUUUCUGCUCCAUGAUUAUUUAAAUAGCCGCAGUACUCUGACUGUGCAAAGGUAGCGUAAUAAUUUGACUUAUAAUUGAAGUCCUGAAUGAAAGAAAGUUUGAGGGGUAACUGUAUCAGCAAAAUUAUAUGAAUUUACUAAAUAAGUGCAAAUACUUUUAUAAAAAUAAUAGACGAGAAGACCCUAGAAAUUUUUAUUACUUGUCGAAAACUAUUUUUGUUGGGGCAACAAGGUAACAAGAAACUUACCGUGAUACGACACGAAACUGUAUAGAGAGAUUAAAUUACUCUAGGGAUAACAGCGUAAUUUUUACUUGAUUGCGACCUCGAUGUUGGACUAGGGAACAACUGCUUAGAAGGCAUAACGUUAUGCUCUGUUCGAGCA
rnacentral:rRNA from 1 species